AUUGAACGCUAGCGGGAUGCUUUACACCUGCAAGUCGAACGAGUGGCGGACGGGUGAGUCAUAUAUCGGAACGUGCCCAGAAGCGGGGGAAAACCUCUCAAAAGAGUCUCUUAUCCCCCAAACUCCUGGGGCGGACGAUAUCGGAGUGGCUAGUUGGUGGGGAAAAGGCUCAGCAAGGAAAAGAUCUGUAGCUGGUUUGAGGGGACGACCAGCCACACUGGGACUGAGACACGGCCCAGCCGCAUACGGCAGGCAGCAGUGGGGAAGUUUGGACCAUGGGGGAAACCCUGAUCCAGCCAUCACGCGUGUAUGAGAAGGCCUUCGGGUUUGAAAGUACUUUUGGCAGAGAAGCGGUAUCUGCAGAAUAAGCACCGGCUAACGACGUGCCAGCCGCCGCGGUAAUAC
rnacentral:rRNA from 1 species